GGGAAGGUAGCUCAGCGGUAGAGUGCUUGUCUUGCAUGCAAGAGGCCCUGGGUUCAAUUCCCCAGCACCA
rnacentral:tRNA from 1 species